rnacentral:lncRNA from 1 species
UCCUAUGGAGUUAUUGGGCCGUAUAGUGGGCUGAACCGUUUGUUGAGUAUGGUUCCACUUAGGCUUUGACCGGUGAUGAUUAUGGGGAUAAACUUUAACUGUCAUCUCUGCAUUGUAUUUAAUGAGGAUUGGACAGGGCUUAGUCGGCUACAGGCUGUGGGCCAGGGGAGGUCAGUGGCAUACAAAAGCAAGGAACUCACACAAAG